rnacentral:rRNA from 1 species
AUUGAACGCUGGCGGCAGGCUUAACACAUGCAAGUCGAGCGGAGAUGAGGUGCUUGCACCUUAUCUUAGCGGCGGACGGGUGAGUAAUGCUUAGGAAUCUGCCUAUUAGUGGGGGACAACAUUCCGAAAGGAAUGCUAAUACCGCAUACGUCCUAUGGGAGGAAGCAGGGGAUCUUCGGACCUUGCGCUAAUAGAUGAGCCUAAGUCGGAUUAGCUAGUUGGUGGGGUAAAGGCCUACCAAGGCGACGAUCUGUAGCGGGUCUGAGAGGAUGAUCCGCCACACUGGGACUGAGACACGGCCCAGACUCCUACGGGAGGCAGCAGUGGGGAAUAUUGGACAAUGGGGGGAACCCUGAUCCAGCCAUGCCGCGUGUGUGAAGAAGGCCUUAUGGUUGUAAAGCACUUUAAGCGAGGAGGAGGCUACUGAGACUAAUACUCUUGGAUAGUGGACGUUACUCGCAGAAUAAGCACCGGCUAACUCUGUGCCAGCCGCCGCGGUAACAC